rnacentral:rRNA from 1 species
UACGUAGGGGGCGAGCGUUGUCCGGAAUGACUGGGCGUAAAGGGUACGUAGGCGGCCAGGUAAGUCAGGUGUGAAAUUCUAGGGCUCAACCCUAGAUAGCACUUGAAACUGCUUGGCUUGAGUCGAGGAGAGGGAAGCGGAAUUCCUGGUGUAGCGGUGAAAUGCGUAGAUAUCAGGAGGAACACCAGUGGCGAAGGCGGCUUCCUGGCCUUGGACUGACGCUGAGGUACGAAAGCGUGGGGAGCAAACAGG